rnacentral:rRNA from 1 species
UUGAAAUCUGGCGCCUUCGGUGUCCGAGUUGUAAUUUGAAGAUUGUAACCUUGGGGUUGGCUCUUGUCUAUGUUUCUUGGAACAGGACGUCACAGAGGGUGAGAAUCCCGUGCGAUGAGAUGCCCAAUCCUAUGUAAGGUGCUUUCGAAGAGUCGAGUUGUUUGGGAAUGCAGCUCUAAGUGGGUGGUAAAUUCCAUCUAAAGCUAAAUAUUGGCGAGAGACCGAUAGCGAACAAGUACAGUGAUGGAAAGAUGAAAAGAACUUUGAAAAGAGAGUGAAAAAGUACGUGAAAUUGUUGAAAGGGAA